rnacentral:sRNA from 1 species
CCUGCGGAGGGAUCAUUACCGAGUUUACAACUCCCAAACCCCUGUGAACAUACCACUUGUUGCCUCGGCGGAUCAGCCCGCUCCCGGUAAAACGGGACGGCCCGCCAGAGGACCCCUAAACUCUGUUUCUAUAUGUAACUUCUGAGUAAAACCAUAAAUAAAUCAAAACUUUCAACAACGGAUCUCUUGGUUCUGGCAUCGAUGAAGAACGCAGCAAAAUGCGAUAAGUAAUGUGAAUUGCAGAAUUCAGUGAAUCAUCGAAUCUUUGAACGCACAUUGCGCCCGCCAGUAUUCUGGCGGGCAUGCCUGUUCGAGCGUCAUUUCAACCCUCAAGCACAGCUUGGUGUUGGGACUCGCGUUAAUUCGCGUUCCUCAAAUUGAUUGGCGGUCACGUCGAGCUUCCAUAGCGUAGUAGUAAAACCCUCGUUACUGGUAAUCGUCGCGGCCACGCCGUUAAACCCCAACUUCUGAAUGU